rnacentral:rRNA from 1 species
CAGAGGGUGCAAGCGUUAAUCGGAAUUACUGGGCGUAAAGCGUGCGUAGUCGGUUAUCUAAGUCGGGUGUGAAAUCCCCGGGCUCAACCUGGGAAUUGCAUUCGAUACUGGAUAGCUAGAGUUCGGCAGAGGGAAGCGGAAUUUCGGGUGUAGCGGUGAAAUGCGUAGAUAUCCGAAGGAACAUCAGUGGCGAAAGCGGCUUCCUGGACCAGAACUGACGAUCAGGCACGAAAGCGUGGGGAGCAAACAGGAUUAGAUACCCUGGUAGUCCACGCCAUAAACGAUGACAACUAGACGUUGGGAGGGUAAGCCUCACAGUGUCGCAGCUAACGCGUUAAGUUGUCCGCCUGGGGAGUACGGCCGCAAGGUUG